UACGUAGGUGGCAAGCGUUGUCCGGAUUUACUGGGUGUAAAGGGCGUGUAGCCGGGUUGACAAGUCAGAUGUGAAAUCCUGCGGCUUAACCGCAGAACUGCAUUUGAAACUGUUGAUCUUGAGUACUGGAGAGGCAGACGGAAUUCCUAGUGUAGCGGUGAAAUGCGUAGAUAUUAGGAGGAACACCAGUGGCGAAGGCGGUCUGCUGGACAGCAACUGACGGUGAGACGCGAAAGCGUGGGGAGCAAACAGG
rnacentral:rRNA from 1 species